GCCCCGGCCGGGCCGGGCCGGUCCCGACGCGGAGGGCUGCGAGUCCCCGCCCGGCGCGCUCACGUCAGCUCCGCGUCCCGCUUCUUCGCCUCUUCCGCCUUCCCCCUAGCUCUCCGCCACGCCGCCGUAUCCCUCCGCACUCUGCGUCCGGCACAAUCAGCUUUAAUUGGUGGGAUCUGAAUUCUCCCUGCUCUCAAACGUGACCCACGUAAGAACGAGAAGAAAGAAAGAAAGAAAGGAAAAAAGUAUCUCACUGGGAAACUGAAAACUGUACAAAUUGGAAUGGCAAUGUUGCUGAGAACAAGGAAAGCCAGGAGUAUGGGGGAAGAAGUUGCUGAGCUACUGCACGGAGUAAGUGCAGCUUUGCUGGGUGGUGCAGCUGCUGCUUUUCCUUAUUUCAUAACUAUUUUGUCCUUGAAAACAAACAAAUAAAAAAAAACGGAGUCCCAAAAGCAAA